rnacentral:rRNA from 1 species
UAAACCAGGAUUAGAUACCCUAUUAUAUUUAAACAAAUUGGGUAGUAUUAUUAAUAAAAACCUUUAUACUUUGGCGGCAUUUUAUCUUAUUAGAGGAAUAUGUUCAUUAAUCGAAACCACACGAUAGUUUUUACUUACUAUAAAAUUUUAUAUACCCCCGUCUAAAGAAUUUAUUUAAAAUUUUUAUUCCAAAUUAUAUUAAAAAAAGUUAGGUAAAGGUGUAGACUAUUAGUAAGAUUAAAUGUAUUACAUUAAAAAAAAAUUUAAGGAUAAAACAGUUAACUGUUUAUUAAAAGAGGAUUUAUAAGUAAUUUACUUUUAAUAAAAAUUAAUGAAUAAGAAAAUAAAUGUGCACAUAUCGCCCGUCACUC